CCUUGUGGGAUUUCCUUCCUCACUUUUGUUUUGUGCCAAGUAGGCGGAUUUUUGAUUUACAUUUUCUACACAGUUGUUUUUUGAUAUCUGGAGCAGGUGUCUCCUUGUGGGAUUUCCUUCCUCACUUUUGUUUUGUGCCAAGUAGGCGGAUUUUUGAUUUACAUUUUCUACACAGUUGUUUUUUGAUAUCUGGAGCAGGUGUCUCCUUGUGGGAUUUCCUUCCUCACUUUUGUUUUGUGCCAAGUAGGCGGAUUUUUGAUUUACAUUUUCUACACA